rnacentral:lncRNA from 1 species
AACGAGUUUAGAAUAGACUUAUGCACUUGGUGACUCGAUCUUGAUGCCUACCAACUUGUGAACAUUUAAUUCCCCUAUCGAGUCGCUCAAGUUGUUUAAAGUCAUAGUUGACUUGAUGGUCCGAAUAAGGUGCAAAAGAGAUCAAUGUGCCCAAAUUUUCAUGGGGGUUCGGUUGCGAUUCAACACACUGGCGACUUUGAGUCUGCCGCCUGUAAGCUAG